UUGAACGCUGGCGGCAGGCCUAACACAUGCAAGUCGAACGGUAACAGGAAACAGCUUGCUGUUUCGCUGACGAGUGGCGGACGGGUGAGUAAUGUCUGGGAAACUGCCCGAUGGAGGGGGAUAACUACUGGAAACGGUAGCUAAUACCGCAUAACGUCGCAAGACCAAAGAGGGGGACCUUAGGGCCUCUUGCCAUCGGAUGUGCCCAGAUGGGAUUAGCUAGUAGGUGGGGUAAAGGCUCACCUAGGCGACGAUCCCUAGCUGGUCUGAGAGGAUGACCAGCCACACUGGAACUGAGACACGGUCCAGACUCCUACGGGAGGCAGCAGUGGGGAAUAUUGCACAAUGGGCGCAAGCCUGAUGCAGCCAUGCCGCGUGUAUGAAGAAGGCCUUCGGGUUGUAAAGUACUUUCAGCGGGGAGGAAGGGAGUAAAGUUAAUACCUUUGCUCAUUGACGUUACCCGCAGAAGAAGCACCGGCUAACUCCGUGCCAGCAGCCGCGGUAAUACGGAGGGUGCAAGCGUUAAUCGGAAUUACUGGGCGUAAAGCGCACGCAGGCGGUUUGUUAAGUCAGAUGUGAAAUCCCCGGGCUCAACCUGGGAACUGCAUCUGAUACUGGCAAGCUUGAGUCUCGUAGAGGGGGGUAGAAUUCCAGGUGUAGCGGUGAGAUGCGUAGAGAUCUGGAGGAAUACCGGUGGCGAAGGCGGCCCCCUGGACGAAGACUGACGCUCAGGUGCGAAAGCGUGGGGAGCAAACAGGAUUAGAUACCCUGGUAGUCCACGCCGUAAACGAUGUCGACUUGGAGGUUGUGCCCUUGAGGCGUGGCUUCCGGAGCUAACGCGUUAAGUCGACCGCCUGGGGAGUACGGCCGCAAGGUUAAAACUCAAAUGAAUUGACGGGGGCCCGCACAAGCGGUGGAGCAUGUGGUUUAAUUCGAUGCAACGCGAAGAACCUUACCUGGUCUUGACAUCCACGGAAGUUUUCAGAGAUGAGAAUGUGCCUUCGGGAACCGUGAGACAGGUGCUGCAUGGCUGUCGUCAGCUCGUGUUGUGAAAUGUUGGGUUAAGUCCCGCAACGAGCGCAACCCUUAUCCUUUGUUGCCAGCGGUCCGGCCGGGAACUCAAAGGAGACUGCCAGUGAUAAACUGGAGGAAGGUGGGGAUGACGUCAAGUCAUCAUGGCCCUUACGACCAGGGCUACACACGUGCUACAAUGGCGCAUACAAAGAGAAGCGACCUCGCGAGAGCAAGCGGACCUCAUAAAGUGCGUCGUAGUCCGGAUUGGAGUCUGCAACUCGACUCCAUGAAGUCGGAAUCGCUAGUAAUCGUGGAUCAGAAUGCCACGGUGAAUACGUUCCCGGGCCUUGUACACACCGCCCGUCACACCAUGGGAGUGGGUUGCAAAAGAAGUAGGUAGCUUAACCUUCGGGAGGGCGCUUACCACUUUGUGAUUCAUGACUGGGGUG
rnacentral:rRNA from 1 species